AUGAGAUGCAUUCAUAUUGGAUUACUUUGUGCUCAAGAGAAUGUAGCAAGCAGGCCAACAAUGAGUUCUGUUGUAGUAAUGCUUAACAGUCCUUCUGUCACUCUCCCUAUGCCUUUAGAACCUGCAUUUUAUAUGGAUGUUCCAAACUUUCAAGAUAUUAACUCAGCUCAAGAAUCAAUCAAUGAAACUUCAAAUACAGAGUUAUAUCCCCGUUAG